GGGCGGUUAGCUCAGUUGGUUAGAGUACUACCUUGACAUGGUAGGGGCCACAGGUUCGAAUCCUGUAUCGCCCA
rnacentral:tRNA from 1 species